rnacentral:tmRNA from 1 species
GGGGCUGUUUGGUUUUGACAGCAGGUAGAAGGAGUAAGUAAGCAUGUCGAGCGGGUGUGGAAACGGCUCGUAAAUCACGGUUCACAAAAUCAUAACUGGCGAAAACAACUACGCUCUUGCUGCUUGAUCGAAUCAUAGUAGAUCGGCUUAAUCUCGGCACAAGGUGCUGAGACGAGACAUCCUCCAAAAGCCGUCGCUCCGAGGCUGAUGAUAAGAGGGUGCAGCUAAAUCGGGGAUAGUUUCGGUUUGCCUCGCAACCGAAAUGAAAACAAAGAGGAUAAGGUAGAUGUUGGUGGCUUCGGUCUUGCAACUACUCGAAAACCUAAGCGAAGAUAAACAUGUAGAAAGCUUAUUGUUUCCUUGUUUGGACGAGGGUUCGACUCCCUCCAGCUCCACAA